UAAGGAAUAUUGGUCAAUGGACGCAAGUCUGAACCAGCCAUGCCGCGUGAAGGAUGAAGGUCCUCUGGAUUGUAAACUUCUUUUAUCUGGGACGAAAACGGGAUUUUUAUCUCAAUUGACGGUACCAGAGGAAUAAGCACCGGCUAACUCCGUGCCAGCAGCCGCGGUAAUACGGAGGGUGCAAGCGUUAUCCGGAUUCACUGGGUUUAAAGGGUGCGUAGGUGGGCAGAUAAGUCAGUGGUGAAAUCUUCCGGCUUAACCGGGAAACUGCCGUUGAUACUAUUUGGCUUGAAUAUUGCGGAGGUAAGCGGAAUAUGUCAUGUAGCGGUGAAAUGCUUAGAUAUGACAUAGAACACCAAUUGCGAAGGCAGCUUACUACACAAUCAUUGACACUGAGGCACGAAAGCGUGGGUAGCGAACA
rnacentral:rRNA from 1 species